rnacentral:lncRNA from 1 species
CUAACCCGGAAGGCAGAGGUUGCAGUGAGCAGGGAUCCCGCCACUGCACUCCAGUCUGGACGACACAGUGAGACUCCAUCUCAAAAAAAAAAAAAAAAAAAAAAAUCACCGGGCAUGGUGGCUCAUGCCUGUAAUCUCAGCACUUUUGGAGGCUGAGGUGGGAGGAUUGCUUGAAACCUGGAGUUUCAAACCAGCCUGGGCGACAUAGGGGACACCAUCUCUACAAAACAUUUUUAAAAGUUAGCCGGGCAUGGUGGCACAUGCCUGUAGUUCCAGCUACUUAGGAGGCUGAGGUGGGAGGGUCACUUGAGCCUGGGAGUUCAAGACUGCAGUGAGCCGUGAUUGUGCCACUGUACUCAAGCCUGGGUGAAAUAGUGAGACUCUAUCUCAAAAAAUAAACAUAAAUAAAUAAACAUAAAUAAAUAUACACAUUUUUAUACAUACAUAUUAUAUGUAAUAUACCCAGGCUAGAGUGCAGUGGCAUGAUUACAGCUCACUGCAACCUCAAGCUCCUGAGCUCCAACGAUCCUCCCUCCUCAGCCUCUUGAGUAGCUAAGACUGCUGGUGCGGGUCACCAAGCCCGACUAAUUUUUUUUUUUUUUUUUUGAGACCGUCUCACUAUGUUUCCCAGGCUGGUCUCUAACUCCUGGUCUCAAGUGAUUCUCCCACCUCCCGAGGAGGUGCAUCAGUCUCCCAAGUAGCUGGGAUUACAAGGACAAGCCACUGCACCUGGUUGUAAUAUAAACUUGUAUGAGAUUGCUCUGUCACUGCCUGCUGGCCACCCCAGUGUCCCCACUCGACCAUGGAUUCCUUGUGGACUAGGGUGACAUCACAGUCAUUUCUGUAUCUCCAGUAGCCAAACCAACCUGUAAACGGUAGACAAUCAACAAAAAAAAUGUUGAAUGAAUGUAUGGAUUAAUAAUACUAUUAAUAAUGCCACCUAGUACAUUAAGUGGGAGGGAGGUAGUAUUCACGGGAAGGGAGGUAGCAUUCCAGAGAAUGCCCUGGGUACCCCUUGUAGACCUCACCCCCUCCCUGCAGGAGAGGACGUUAGCCAAGCAGCAUCCCAGCUCCCAAUCCUCCUGCGAGCCAUCAGUCAGGAACAGCUUCACCCUCUUAGAGGUGAUGCUGGUGCUACUGGCCAAGGAUCACAUUUGGAGAACCACAGAAGUAUUCUCCAGACCCACAGGCCACCCCGAAGCUCAGAGGCUAUAAGUCUGUCUGAUCUCUGCAUCCUCCACCUCCCCAGUCCCCAUGGAGAGUUGAGAGGAACUCCUGCUCUGGCCAAAAUGGAGCUGAUGGUUUACACAGAAACAUCCAGGAGUAUGUGCAUUUCAGAAAAUAAGGGCAACCUGAGAAAUUCCCUUGCCCCAAACACACAAACCACCCAAACCAGAAACAGUGUUCAUCCUCCACUCGUCUCUAGAGUGUCCACUUCAGGAGCGCAGGGGCUGGGCCUGGGCCAGGAUCUCCAGCCCCUGCAACUGUGGGAACCCUCCAGGCCAAGUUCAGAUGCUCCCUCCUCCAUGAGGCCUGCGGUGGCUCCCACUUCUCAGGAUGCACUGAUGGCUCCCUCCUGGGUAUGGGUCCCAAUAUCCCUGCUGUAAGCACUCGUGUGUGUACGGAAAUCUUGUGCCACCUCCUACUGGGUGCUCUCUUAAGGCAAGGGCCACUUCUUCAUGUCCCACAGAAUCCAGCACAAAAUAGAUGCUCUGAGAGUUUCACUUUAGAAGUCCAAUCAAGGAUCAAAUAAACUUUAAAGACUUCUUUUGGGGAGCCAGGCACAGUGUGGCUCAUGCCUGUAAUCCUAGCACUUUGGGAGACUGAGCUGGGCUUGAGCCCAGGAGUUCAAGACCAGCCUGGGCAACAUUGUGUCUCUACAAAAAAUACAAAACUUAAAGCUGGGUCCGGUGGCUCACGCCUGUAAUCUCAGCACUUUGGGAGGCUGAGGCGGGCAGAUCACGAAGUCAG